AAAUGGCCUUUGGGCCCUCUGACAUAACUGCGGGUCAGUCACUCGUCAGGGGACAGAACCUGGCCACCUGUGGGCAGCGAAAGAGACUGGAUUAGGGCCGGAGAGUGAGAAGGGCCUCCCAGGAAAAAGAAGAGGUGAUAGAGGGUGCAUCGCCGUUCCGCUUCAGAUGCACUUGAGAGCGGAAUGCUUUGCAUAAGAUACAAAAACCUGACCUAACCAACGCAGACUUCCGGUCUCUCGAAGCGCGUUGAAAGUCAGUAUCGCCCCUCUCUUUCUUUCUUGCAAUGGCCAUCUCUUUCCAUCCAUUGUUGAGCACUUCACACACAUACGAUAAUCAUUUCACAUUACGACCUGGAAAAUAGUGGGAAAAUAAUUAUUGGUCUACAAAUUUUCCUCCUUUAGACAAUAUCAUGCUGAUAAUUGUAUGUGUGCCCCCUUUUGAAAGGGAAGUUCAACUCGGGUCGCCAAGCAGUCAAGAGUUUCUUGAAGAGCCGCAAACUAAUGGCAGUUGCGUGUUUCUUGAUCCAAUCCCGAAUCAUUUACUUGUUGCAGGUUUCGGGACGCCUAGAUGGAUUUUUAAUGACAUUGAAGACCUGGAUACUAUUUGAUUGUCAAUAAAAAUUAUAGAAUCGGAUCACUGACCCUUAACUUGCUUUAUUAAACAAAGAAAAAUAAAUAAAUGUCUAAAAAUUGAA